rnacentral:rRNA from 1 species
AUGCUUGCAGUUCUUCUUCAUCAAGGAUUGGCAUUUCGUGGGCAUGAUGAAAGUGAACAAUCUAGCAACAGGGGAAACUUCAUUGAGCUAUUGAAGUGGCUUGCAACGAAUAGUGAGGAGGUGAAUAAGUAUGUCUUGAAGAAUGCACCAGGUAAUUGCAAAUUGACUUCUCACCAGAUACAAAAUCAGAUUAUUCAAUGUUGUGCAGUACAUACUAGAAAUCAAAUUAUUGAACAAGUUGGUGAUGAUCAUUAUGCUAUUCUAGCUGAUGAGUCUAGUGAUGUAUCACAUAAAGAACAACUAGCUCUAUGUUUGCGUUUUGUUGAUAAAGUAGGAAGGCUAAGUGAGCACUUUCUUGGAGUUGUUCAUGUAAGUGACACCACUGCAUUGUCACUUAAGGAAGCAAUUCAAACUUUACUUGCCAAUCAUGGUUUCACUAUAACUCAAAUUCGUGGGCAAGGUUGUGAUGGGGCUAGCAACAUGAGAGGAGAAAUUAAAGGACUGAAAACAUUGAUCAUGAAAGAGUCACCUUCUGCCUAUUACAUCCAUUGUUUUGCACAUCAACUCCAACUAGUUCUUGUUGCUGUUGCCAAGGGAAAUGAUGACUGUGUAUGGUUUUUUGAUCGAGUGUCUUUAUUGUUGAACAUUAUUGGAGUUUCUUGUAAGCGUCAUGACAUGCUUAGAGAUGCUAGACUUCAUAAUAUCAUGAAACUACUUGAAUGUGGUGAGUUACAAACUGGGAGUGGUCUGAAUCAAGAGAUGGGGUUACCUAGGCCUGCUGAUACUAGGUGGGGCUCUCAUUACAAAACUGUUCUCAACAUUAUUGCUAUGUACCCCACAAUUCGUGAUGUAAUCAUCACUCUUGGACAAGAUGCAUCACAAAGGAGUGAUUGGCCAAAAAUCCAUACUAUUGUUGGAGUGUUCGAGUCAUUUGACUUUAUUUUCAAUGCCCACUUGAUGCUUGUCAUUCUUGGAUACACAAGUGAUUUGUCUGAUUGUUUGCAAAGAAGAGACCAAGACAUUCUUUCUGCAAUGGCAAUGGUUAGAUUGGCAAAAGAUAGAAUACAAGAACUGAGGUCUAAUGGGUGGGAUGCAUUUCUUCAAAGAGUCACAUUAUUUUGUAACAAGCAUAGCAUUCAAGUUCCUACAAUGGAGGAUAAUUAUGUGCCUUAUGGAAGAUCAACACGGUUUGUUCGACCCCAAACAAAUGAUGAUCACUUUAGAAGAGAAGUAUUUCUUGGAGUAAUUGAUCAAAUUAGUCAAGAGCUUGAAAAUCGGUUUGACGAGAUCAAUAUGGAGUUGCUAUCUUGUAUGUCUGCUUUGAAUCCUGCCAACUCAUUUGCUGCUUUUGAUGCACACAAGGUACGCAAACUUGCUGAGUUCUAUCCAGAAGACUUUUCAAGUGCUGACUUGAUACACCUUGAACUACAACUUGGUAACUAUAUUGGUGACAUGAGAAAAGAUGAGAACUUUCAACAAGGCCUUGGAAAUCUUGUUGAUCUCUCAGUUAAGCUUGUUCAAACAGGGAGGCAUAUAGUUGAUAAUUUCGUGUACUUGCUUCUAAAAUUGGUAUUGAUUCUACCAGUGGCAACGACAAAUGUUGAGAGAGCAUUUUCUGCCAUGAGUUUAGUCAAAAACAAGUUGAGAAAUAAGAUGGGUGGUAGUCUUUUGGAUGAUUGCCUGGUCACAUACAUUGAGCGGGAUAUUUUCUCUAAGGUGAAUGAAGAUGACAUAAUUGAUACUUUCAUGGUCAUGCAGAAGUGUAGGCCGGAAACAUAG